ACGUAUGCGUACUCUCUGACUAUAGUAAUUGAAUGACAUCGCGACACAAUCGAUUGGAUUGCAAGUCACAGAUUCGAACUGUGAUUGAAUCAUCAGUUAAUUAAACAAUUGUUUUAUUAGAAUAUCAAGAUUAGAAUAUACGCGUGAAAGUCUGUUUUAUUGCAUCUAAUUAAGGAUGUUGAAAAUUUUCACUUAUAAUAAUUGAUACGAAGACAAUCAAUAUUCGUUAUUUCUUGGAAUACUGUUGAGGAGUUUCUUAUUUAGAAAUUUUGCAGAAUACUCACUAUCUUUACAGGAUUGAAAUAAGUAAAAUUGUGUUUACUAAAAAAUUUAACUAUAAAUUCUAUCGUUUUUUUUCGUAUAUGUACACCAAUUAUCUCACGAACUCCGACGACGAAAAUUCAGUACUCUAAUAAAGUCGUUAUUAGUCGUUAUCGAAAUUGAAAGAUCGUGAAAUUUUCUAAUUCAGGGAAUGGAGCCUGCUAAGGCUCGGAAGAUCGCCAAAAGGUAAUAGAGUGCGAACGUCCAAGAGGGUUGGGCCGAACCCUUGGAUGAACGAAAUAGCCCGGCAGCGACACGUCAAGGCGACGCUCUCGAACUCGAAACAGCCACCGCCUAAGCCACUUAGUUGUCAGAGGGAUGCGCACGGACUCUAGGCGGCCAUUUAUCCUGGUCUCCUGUCUCAUUGUAUUUGAAAAGCGGUCCAGAACAAAGUACCGAACGGAGUUAAAUAAAAACAAUUGGGAGAUUUAUCAUUCGAAUUAUUGCUGGGGAUCCAGCACGAUUAUUAAUCUUCCAGCAUCUUUCACGUUAAGAAAUGAGCUCGACGGUGUUCCAAAACUACAGCUAAACGUGAUCCUAGGGAAGCGAAAAUUUGUUGCUAGCAGUGCCACUUGAGCAACUUCCACGUAUGUAUUCCAAUAUACGUUAGUGGACGUUACAUGCUUAAAAGAUUUGAGACUUUGGAAGGAAUCGUUUGAGCUGUGGAGAACGGAUCGACAUACGAACGAAGCGAAUGCACUCGGCACUCGCCGUGUAUACGUGUCGAAACGAAGGGUGUUUUUUAAUUCUGCUUUAUCCAGAAACGUGGGAGCAUCGGAUCAAAACGACGAAGAGAGGAUGGGAGCCUCGAUGGAGAAAUCCCGCGGGUUCUUUGGCCGAGUUUGGCGAUAGCCAAUUUCUCAUUUACUUUCAGUAUAAAACGCCUGAGCCACUUAACCACAACGCACCAGCUACUCGGUCCAAUCUUCUUCGUGUAAUCUCCUCUUUAUUGGCCCUGACAAAAAGCCUCCAAUUAGUUCGCAUAACAUUACUGUAAUUACGGGAAAGAGAGAACCCUGUCGGCCGGAUACGAGAAUGCGAUAUAAGCCCCUGAUAUGUCUGCCAAAAUAUCCAAUCGCUUUUUCUGCCUGCAAGUCUACCCGUAUUGCUUUUUUCUUCGUGCCAUAAUUCAAUUGAAUAGAGAAAAUAAUGAUUUCAAUCGAUUUUAUACAGUUUCGAGCUAGAGAUUUCCAAAUUGGGAUCCCGAUCACUAUCCAUUGAGCAUCGAAAAAUUUGGACACUAUACGAAAAGCGUUGAAGAUUGCGUAACUACGGAGGAAGUUUUGAAUUCGACGUAGAGCUAAAGGUGGCUAAUUUAAUUAAUGCAUACGAAAUAUAAUUCUAUAGUGUUCUUCGUUCGUCGCCAGCGAAUGGCUGCUGUAGCUCCGUCUACUCGAGGCAACUCGAAGCUUCCUUCAAGUUUUCCAAAGCUUGUAACACGAGAACUUGAACCACGAAAGUCUUAAAAUAGUUCGUGGGUGAAAUUCACUAGCAAAUAGUCGACAGCGUAAGUUUCACUUUUCAGUUCUGAGCUCAUAUAUUUUCAACCACCCUACCAUGGUUGUAACUAAACACUGUAAUUAAACACUUCGUGUAUUCUGUAUUAUGUGGAAAGUGGACUAACACAGAUAGAAAAUGCACACACAAGCCAGCCUCUGCGCUUAGUGAUCGUGAAUGGUAUAACCGGGCAAAAUAAGCAAUCUGUUUCAUUUUAAUGUGACAAUCCGAGGAUCCCUAAACAGCAUACCAAGUACAAGGACACGAGAUGAAGAGUCUAGUAACAAGAACACACUCACGUUAAAGCUUUUGUUGAAGUUUCGACGAUGUCAUUAAGGGUCUGUGAAACAGAUGUGGGUGUAAAGUGACGAAGAGAAUGAGAGAGAGAGAGAGAGAGGAAAAGAGAGAAAUGCCAUUAGUGGGGGGGUUGGCCGCAGAGCAAUCAAGACAGAUCAAGGAUGUGUUUCGACUCAAUCUCUGCCUAAGGUGCUGUAAUAGUACUUUCGCCAUUUCGUUUCUCUCUUUGAACGUAUGCAUAACGUAUGUAUUAAAAAUUGAAUUUUUUCCACAAAGAGAUAAACAAAAAAUGUAUUUUUCUUCAUGCACAUAAGCUUGUAUGCUGAUUCCUCAUAAAUUCCCGAUUAUAAAAUCUGCUUUUUUGACUUUGUAAAACGAUGUCGCUUUAAGGAUUGAUAACAGAUAUUCCGUAAAGGGAAUCAUCGCA